GCCGUACUUAUCUUUUUCCAAUCUUUUCCUCUUUCCUACUCUAUCUUUCUUUUUUUUAAUUUUUCAUCUAUUUCUCACUAAAAACAUAAGAAAAAGUAAGAUAGAGUAGGAAAGAGGAAAAGAUUGGAAAAAGAUAAGUACGGC